rnacentral:lncRNA from 1 species
UUGAGAGAAUCUCUGUUCUAGUGAGAGAACUAAUUCUUAGGUAGGUUAAUAAGGAGUCUGGGACCUUCGAGGAGAAAGGGGUCCAGGGCCCUCAAGAAGGAGAAAAGGACAAACUUUUUUUUUUUUUCUACAUUCCUUAGUCUUAGUCAGUAUUUUCUUUAAGCCCAGAGCUAAUGAUUACACAACAAAACAACUCAUGUUAAACUCUGUACUAAGGAUUAUAUAAUAGCAAUGUAUCUUGCUCAAGGACAGAAUACAUGUUUCUCUUUCUUCACAGAAACCUUCUGACUAAUCUCAUUAUCUUAAGAUGCUGUGGGAUCGGAUCUGGAAAUUAUUAGAAAUCGGGCCGGGGAGACCAGAGUAUGAAAAGAGAAGGAUCUGAGACUACCAUGCUGGAGAGUAUCAAUGUUUAAGAAACAUACAAAAAGAUUUCAAAGGCAACAUGAAAAGACAUGAAUCAGGCAACAGUACCUUCAGUCAAGGAACCACACAAGCAGGAAGAUCCCCUGGAGAAGGAAAUGGCAACCUACUCUAAUAGUCUUGUUUGGGGAAUCCUAUGGACAGAAGAGUCUGGUGAGCUUACUAGGACUGUGAUUUCAUUAAUAUAACAUGUUCAUCAACUGAGAUUCUGCCAAAUUGAAUUUUAUAAUUGGUAUUUAUAUCCUGAUAAUCAGUAAAUGUAUUUUAGUAUAUUUC